rnacentral:tRNA from 1 species
GCCGGGGUAGCCAAGUGGUUUACGGCGCGGGCCUUGAGAGUCCGUGCUCUUCGGAGCGCGAGGGUUCAAAUCCCUCUCCCGGCGCCA